CCUCGCAUCCGCAUCCUUCUUUUAAUAUGACGGGCAAUGACCCCAACAUACUAACACAUAUAUAUCUCUAACAAUUUGCAACCUUACACCAACAUAACAAUUUAAGUGCCAACCAUAAAUAACCACGGCAGGGGUAUACCCGGAUACCCCUACCCCACCAGGUUCUGAGCCACCUCCAGGACUCGAAACCUACCAACCACCAGUGACCACAAUUUCCAUGUCCGUGACGUUCCUCAUGGGAGCCUAUUUCCUCUUCCUCUGCUCCCUAUCCCGCCGCUGUGACAAAACGGGAUACCAUCACUUAUCUCAAAAACCCAGGGAGGGUGGGUGGGACAAACUCAGCCAGGUAAGAAAUUAAAUGUGCUCUAUCCAAAAUGGCUGCCUACUUAAGUAGACCAACUCCUUACUCCCACAACCCACCAGUCCUGGCCUGCUCCUCCUAAGCCCGCCUCCUAACCCCUGUCAAGGCCCUCCUCCGCUAAGCUGUGCUUUGGCUCCUUGGGGCUACAGGACUCCGCUGACUUGCAGAAUGCGUAGGACCCGCUAUCCUCCUCUCUUGCCUUCUGGUUAUACUUCAUACUCUUAUCUCUCUUUUUUCCUUUUUUGGAAGUUCUGGCUUUGCUAAUAGUAUGUGGGUUACAUGAUCCAUUUACAUGGAUGGCUACUGGUGGCUAUUAUGCUCUUAAACUGCAAGACUUUGCUCAGUAUAAUGUUUUUUUUUUUUUUCUCACACAGCAAAUGAAGUCGAGAAGCUGCCCAAUGAGUGUUUCUGUGAGGUCCAGACAUAAUGCCAUGCAUUUUCCCUCUCUCCAUCUUGUUUCUGUUGUACUUUCUGUUUCUGUAUAUUGCUGGGAUGCUUGAUGUUACCUCAGCAUUUGCGUACCUGUGUUAUUUCUACCACGGGCGAGGGACAGACCUAGCACAAACCCAGCUCAUCAUAUCUGUUAACCUUUGAUGGGCUUGCCAGGGGGCCAGACUGAAAGAAAUGGUUCUACAUUUAGUGUGCUGACAGACCUAAUGUUAGAAUAUUAUUUAUUUGUCACUGGUAGCGAUCCUCUGACCACAGAUGUCUUGCCUUAAAAUUUUCCAAUGGCCGUUCUGAAAAGGUCCUGCCUCCCAAAUGUUGUCAGUACUGUCUAAUCGUGCCUGAAACCACGGAGGGCUCUCAGCUAAUAAAAUACUCCGCUAAUUCCUGGGAGCACCAUGCCAGCCGUCUGCAGAGCUUCCUCCCAACGUCCCAGAGCCUAAUGAUUUAGAGAAAUUAUUUUAGAUGAUCGUUGAGACAUCAUACACAUCACAAAUCAAAUGAAAGUGUCAUAAUUCUUAGACUUGGAAAUAUCUCCCCGAACGAGUAAUGCAGCGUUCGCAUC